rnacentral:misc_RNA from 1 species
GAUGAAGAACGCAGCGAAAUGCGAUAACUAAUGUGAAUUGCAGAAUUCAGUGAAUCAUCGAGUCUUUGAACGCACAUUGCGCCCUCUGGUAUUCCGGAGGGCAUGCCUGUCCGAGCGUCAUUGCUGCCCUCCAGCCCGGCUGGUGUGUUGGGCCCCGUCCCCCUUCCCGGGGGGACGGGCCCGAAAGGCAGCGGCGGCACCGCGUCCGGUCCUCGAGCGUAUGGGGCUUUGUCACCCGCUCUUGUAGGCCCGGCCGGCGCCAGCCGACCCCCUCAAUCUAUUUUUCAGGUUGACCUCGGAUCAGGUAGGGAUACCCGCUGAACUUAAGCAUAUCAAUAAGCGGAGGA